UCCCCUGUGGCUCAGUUGGUAGAGCAUGGUGUUUGCAACGCCAGGGUUGUGGGUUCGAUUCCCAUGAGGGAC
rnacentral:tRNA from 1 species